GCACUCCCUCUAGCAGCAUACAUAUUAAAACUGGAAUGACAGAGACAUCAGCAUGGCUCCUGCACAAGGAUGGCAUGGAAAUUCAUCAAGUAUUCCCUAUUUUC